AUUAUAAAUAUUAACUUAUUUAUUCUUUAAGGGAUAAGCNNUUUGAAGUNUAAUAACCUAUAAUUUGUUUANAUAAAAUAUAAUAGUAAGCUUUAAACCAGCUAUCUUUAAGAUUACGUUUUAGUUCAUUAUUUUAUAUUUUGAUUUUAUAAUUAUUUUAGGUUUUUUAUUAAGAUUAUUUAUUUAANUUUUAAAAUUUUUGUAAUAAUGAUAGAAUUAGUAUAUUUACUUGUAUAUAANUUUUUACCUUGUUAAUUUAUAAUAAGGAACUAGGCAAAAUUGAUUUCCGCCUGUUUAUCAAAAACAUGUCCUCUUGNAAAAUACUUUGAGGUCUGGCCUGCUCACUGAGCGGNNNAUUUUUAAAGAGCCGCGGUAUUUUGACCGUGCAAAGGUAGCAUAAUCAUUAGUCUCUUAAUUAGUGGCUGGAAUGAAUGGCUUGACGAGAAAUCAACUGUCUCUUAAUAAAUUUUUGAAUUUAACUUUUGAGUCAAAAGGCUUAAAUUUUUCUUUAGGACGAGAAGACCCUAUAGAGCUUAACAUUUUGCUUUUAUAUAGUUUUUUGUUUGUCUUUCUAUAUUUAAUGAUGAUGUUUUGUUGGGGUGACAUGAAGAAUAAAUAAACUCUUCAUUAUUAUAUCAUUUAUUUAUGUUUGUUGUUUUGAUCCAUAAUUUAUGAUCAUAAGAUUAAGUUACCUUAGGGAUAACAGCGUAAUUGUUUUCGAGAGCUCAUAUCGACAAAGCAGAUUGCGACCUCGAUGUUGGAUUAAGAAAAAUUUUGGGUGCAGUAGCCCAGUAAUUAGGUCUGUUCGACCUUUAAAUUCUUACAUGAUCUGAGUUCAGACCGGCGUGAGCCAGGUCGGUUUCUAUCCUAAGAUUNAUUAAUUCAUAUUAGUACGAAAGGACCAUAUGGUUGAAAUANNUUUUUUAUUUUAUNUGAUUAAUAUUAAUUAGAUU
rnacentral:rRNA from 1 species